rnacentral:snRNA from 2 species
GCUCACUUUGGCAGCACAUAUACUAAAACUGGAACAGAGAAGAUUAGCAUGGCCCCUGCAAGGAUAACAUGCAAAUUCAUGAAGCGUUCCAUGUUUUU